rnacentral:rRNA from 1 species
GACGAACGCUGGCGGCGUGCUUAACACAUGCAAGUCGAACGGAAAGGCUCCAGGUUGCUGGAGUACUCGAGUGGCGAACGGGUGAGUAACAAGUGGGUAAUCUGCCCUGCACUCUGGGAUAAGCCUGGGAAACUGGGUCUAAUACUGGAUAUGACCUUUCUCCUUAUGGGGUUUGGUGGAAAGUUUUUCGGUGUAGGAUGAGCCCGCGGCCUAUCAGCUUGUUGGUGGGGUGAUGGCCUACCAAGGCGACGACGGGUAGCCGGCCUGAGAGGGUGAUCGGCCACAUUGGGACUGAGAUACGGCCCAGACUCCUACGGGAGGCAGCAGUGGGGAAUAUUGCACAAUGGGCGGAAGCCUGAUGCAGCGACGCCGCGUGAGGGAUGACGGCCUUCGGGUUGUAAACCUCUUUCAGCAGGGACGAAGCGUAAGUGACGGUACCUGCAGAAGAAGCACCGGCUAACUACGUG